GGAGAGGUGGCAGAGUGGUCGAAUGCGCACGCUUGGAAAGCGUGUAAACCGCAAGGUUUCGGGGGUUCGAACCCCCCCCUCUUCGCCA
rnacentral:tRNA from 1 species